AUUGAACGCUGGCGGCAGGCCUAACACAUGCAAGUCGAGCGGAGCGGCGGACGGGUGAGUAAUGCCUAGGAAUUUGCCUGGUAGUGGGGGAUAACGUCCGGAAAGGGGCGCUAAUACCGCAUACGACAAGAUGAGCCUAGGUCGGAUUGGCUAGUUGGGGGGGUAAAGGCCUACCAAGGCGACGAGCCGUAACUGGUCUGAGAGGAUGAUCAGUCACACUGGAAGUGCGACACGGUCCAGAAUCCUACGGGAGGCAGCAGUGGGGAAUAUUGGACAAUGGGCGAAAGCCUGAUCCAGCCAUGCCGCGUGUGUGAAGAAGGUCUUCGGAUUGUAAAGCACUUUAAGUUGGGAGGCGUUACCAACAGAAUAAGCACCGGCUAACUUCGUGCCAGCCGCCGCGGUAAUUC
rnacentral:rRNA from 1 species